GAUGAACGCUGGCGGCGUGCCUAAUACAUGCAAGUCGAGCGAACAGACGAGGAGCUUGCUCCUCUGACGUUAGCGGCGGACGGGUGAGUAACACGUGGAUAACCUACCUAUAAGACUGGGAUAACUUCGGGAAACCGGAGCUAAUACCGGAUAAUAUCUUGAACCGCAUGGUUCAAUAGUGAAAGACGGUUUUGCUGUCACUUAUAGAUGGAUCCGCGCCGCAUUAGCUAGUUGGUAAGGUAACGGCUUACCAAGGCAACGAUGCGUAGCCGACCUGAGAGGGGGAUCGGCCACACUGGAACUGAGAAACGGUCCAGACUCCUACGGGAGGCAGCAGUAGGGAAUCUUCCGCAAUGGGCGAAAGCUUGACGGAGCAACGCCGCGUGAGUGAUGAAGGUCUUCGGAUCGUAAAACUCUGUUAUUAGGGAAGAACAAAUGUGUAAGUAACUAUGCACGUCUUGACGGUACCUAAUCAGAAAGCCACGGCUAACUACGUG
rnacentral:rRNA from 1 species